GUGAGGAAUAUUGGACAAUGGGCGCAAGCCUGAUCCAGCCAUGUCGCGUGCAGGAAGACGCAUCUAUGGUGUGUAAACUGCUUUUGUACGGGAAGAAACACUCCCUCGUGAGGGAGCUUGACGGUACCGUAAGAAUAAGGAUCGACUAACUCCGUGCCAGCAGCCGCGGUAAUACGGAGGAUCCAAGCGUUAUCCGGAAUCAUUGGGUUUAAAGGGUCCGUAGGCGGUUUAAUAAGUCAGUGGUGAAAGCCCAUCGCUCAACGAUGGAACGGCCAUUGAUACUGUUAGACUUGAAUUACAAGGAAGUAACUAGAAUAUGUAGUGUAGCGGUGAAAUGCUUAGAUAUUACAUGGAAUACCAAUUGCGAAGGCAGGUUACUACUUGUGGAUUGACGCUGAUGGACGAAAGCGUGGGGAGCGAACAGGAUUAGAAACCCCAGUAGUCC
rnacentral:rRNA from 1 species